CGGGACCGCACAAGCGGUGGAUGAUGUGGAUUAAUUCGAUGCAACGCGAAAACCUUACCUACCCUUGACAUGUCCGGAAUCCCGAAGAGAUUUGGGAGUGCUCGCAAGAGAACCGGAACACAGGUGCUGCAUGGCUGCCGUCAGCUCGUGUCGUGAGAUGUUGGGUUAAGUCCCGCAACGAGCGCAACCCUUGUCAUUAGUUGCCAUCAUUUGGUUGGGCACUCUAAUGAGACUGCCGGUGACAAACCGGAGGAAGGUGGGGAUGACGUCAAGUCCUCAUGGCCCUUAUGGGUAGGGCUUCACACGUCAUACAAUGGUCGGUACAGAGGGUUGCCAACCCGCGAGGGGGAGCUAAUCCCACAAAGCCGAUCGUAGUCCGGAUCGCAGUCUGCAACUCGACUGCGUGAAGUCGGAAUCGCUAGUAAUCGUGGAUCAGCAUGUCACGGUGAAUACGUUCCCGGGUCUU
rnacentral:rRNA from 1 species